rnacentral:rRNA from 1 species
AGAGUUUGAUCCUGGCUCAGGACGAACGCUGGCGGCGUGCCUAACACAUGCAAGUCGAGCGGGGAAUGAUUGGUAGCUUGCUACUGGUUAUUUCUAGCGGCGGACGGGUGAGUAACGCGUGAGCAACCUGCCUUUAUCAGGGGGAUAACGCAUCGAAAGAUGUGCUAAUACCGCGUAAGACCACAGCUUCACAUGGAGCAGGGGUCAAAGGAGCAAUCCGGAUAAAGAUGGGCUCGCGUCCGAUUAGCUAGUUGGUGAGAUAACAGCCCACCAAGGCGACGAUCGGUAGCCGACCUGAGAGGGUGAUCGGCCACAUUGGAACUGAGACACGGUCCAGACUCCUACGGGAGGCAGCAGUGGGGAAUAUUGGGCAAUGGGCGAAAGCCUGACCCAGCAACGCCGCGUGAGGGAAGAAGGGUUUCGGCUCGUAAACCUCUGUCCUAUGGGACGAAGGAAGUGACGGUACCAUAGGAGGAAGCCCCGGCUAACUACGUGCCAGCAGCCGCGGUAAUACGUAGGGGGCGAGCGUUAUCCGGAUUCAUUGGGCGUAAAGCGCGCGUAGGCGGCCCGGCAGGCCGGGGGUCGAAGCGGGGGGCUCAACCCCCCGAAGCCCCCGGAACCUCCGCGGCUUGGGUCCGGUAGGGGAGGGUGGAACACCCGGUGUAGCGGUGGAAUGCGCAGAUAUCGGGUGGAACACCGGUGGCGAAGGCGGCCCUCUGGGCCGAGACCGACGCUGAGGCGCGAAAGCUGGGGGAGCGAACAGGAUUAGAUACCCUGGUAGUCCCAGCCGUAAACGAUGGACGCUAGGUGUGGGGGGACGAUCCCCCCGUGCCGCAGCCAACGCAUUAAGCGUCCCGCCUGGGGAGUACGGCCGCAAGGCUAAAACUCAAAGGAAUUGACGGGGGCCCGCACAAGCAGCGGAGCAUGUGGCUUAAUUCGAAGCAACGCGAAGAACCUUACCAGGGCUUGACAUAUGGGUGAAGCGGGGGAGACCCCGUGGCCGAGAGGAGCCCAUACAGGUGGUGCAUGGCUGUCGUCAGCUCGUGUCGUGAGAUGUUGGGUUAAGUCCC